AAUUUUAACCCCUAUACGAUUAUUCAAUUCAGAAAUGACUAUUGUUUUCUCUCGUGCAGUCUGUCGGAAAAUUCAGUGUAGUAACCAUGACUACCAUUUUAGGUGAACGCAAAUGGCGUCAUCUCCUUCAAGGAUGGUGUUGAGGAGUAUGUACCUUUCGUUUUUCCCACUCCCAGCAAGCAGCCAAUGAUAGCCCCGUAUUGGGCCGACGUUGAUAUCCGAAAUGGUGGUGAGAUUUUCUACCGUCAAUCGACGAACUUUGAGCUGCUGCAGCGGGCUACCAACGAUGUAAGGAGAUUUUUUCCAAAUCAGUUUCCAUCUUUCCAAGCAUCGUGGAUAUUCACAGCGACCUGGCUGAACGUCACACGUUUCCGACAUGACAGAUCUUUAUUGCGUAUUGCCAGCACCAAGAAAAACACUUUUCAAGUUGUGAUAAUCACCAAUGGAAGACAUUCCUUCAUCUUAUUCAAUUACGAUAAAAUUGAAUGGACGAUCGGAGAUGCUGGCAAGACUAUUCACGGUGGCAUUCCUGCACAGGCUGGUUACGAUUCCGGAGAUGGUCACUUCUUCUUCAACAUCAAAGGUCAAAAGAGAAACUUCAUAAGGCGACUACCGUUACUCUCAAAUGUUGGUGUACCUGGUACGUUCAUGUUCCGUGUUGAUAUUGCUGAGACUACAAAGGGUGGCUGUAAUACUGCUGGAAGUUUGACUUUAAAACCAAGAAGGGGUUUAGUGCUAGGUGGAACAUUUGUUGAAAUAUCUGGACCGUGUUUCAACGUCAUUUCUGACAACAUCGUAUGCCGUUUUGACGAGAGUAUUUUGGCCGAUGGAAAUGUCAUCAACAGAUUCAAGGCAUACUGUGUCACUCCACCGUUACGCCGAAUUGGUAAAAUGUCAUUGGAGCUCUCUCUAGAUGAUGCAAAGACAUUCAAAUUUGCAUCAAAUUUCACCUCGGUCGCCAUUGGACGUCAUGGUCCUGGGAUCUCGGGUUUGAAGUCUAAGGACUGGACAACACAACUCAAACCGCUCUUCAUCGCUUGGAACCCACACAAACUAAGAACACGUGACUUGGUCGAUGUUCAAAUUGCGCAAUUUGAUUGGGAGAAUUUCGAACUACUUGAUAAGCCAUUUACGGUCAAAUAUAAUGUUAGUAACUACGGCUUUGACUUGCUGAACAACGUUGUGGAUUCGGUACCUACUCUUGAUGAUAUGAUCAUGAAAAAUGACUCCUCGCCGCUUUCGAUCCUCAGCAUCCGUGCUCCAAAGCCAGCGCUAGGACUGGCACCGAGGAUAUUUAGUGCACCAUUUCUAUUGUUUCCCACUAAAGUCGACGACGUAAAUGCGAGUAAAAAAUGUCACGAUUGGUUCCGUAAAGAUAAGUUCAACGUAUCAACUGCGUUAGAUGAACUGAUUGGAUGUCCGAGAAGUCUCCAGCAAGCGGAAGCGGAUACGGCUAGAUUUGCGUCGGACGACUAUUGCAAACCGCCGCGAACUGGUUCUUGCAUGACGUAUCAUAAUGGAUCUUAUCAUUGCUUCCGUAGCGUCUUCCCAAGCCCCAGUGGUGCUGGUCAACAAUGUUGUUAUACGCAAGAGGGUCACCUGGUCGUUGGCCCCCCCGGAGGUGGAACUGUGGACCGAUAUCACGCCGGUAGCUCACGAUAUGCUACGUUGAAACAUUUGAAACAUGACAUUUAUCCUUGGUAUCUCUGCUGUAAAUUAAGUAAGAACUGUGGCCUUUACUACAGACGUAGACCCUCGGUAAAUGGUGCUCGUUAUAGGCCACCUCAGAUUGCAACAACUUUCGGAGACCCACAUCUUGUUACUUUGGAUGGUUUAUCCUACACAUUUAACGGUUAUGGUGAAUACACGAUGUUAAGUAUCGACGUCAUUGGAUUCAAAUUUCAAGCACGAAUGCAGCCUUUACUUGCUAAUGGAAGGAAUACUCGUGGAACGUUUUUGAUGGCGUUUGUUCUGAAAGAUGAUCAAAGUGAUAAAGUUCAGGUUGAAUUCAACUCAUUGCAUAAAGUAGACCUCCUGGUGAAUGGUGUUUCCGAAUCAUUUGAAGCCACGUCAACGUUCAUGGACUUCACAAAUCUUCUUUUGAUGCAGCAAAACAACUCUAAUGUUCAUAUCAUCUUCAAAUCGGGCAUCAGUGUUACUGUCAUUCCCAAUGAUGAUUCUUUAUCGUUUGAAAUAUCGAUAUCUGAAAAGUUUAGAGGCAAGACUAAAGGACUUCUUGGAGUCUGGGACGACGAUGUAAAGAACGAUUUUACUUUACCGAAUGGUGAAAAAGUUGAUGUUAAUUCGAACUCUUCGGCGAUACAUUGGACAUUUGGACAGAAAUGGCUGAUUGACGAAGCAACUUCCCUAUUCACCUAUGGCAAUGGCAAAAAUCACAACGAUUUUAUCAAUACUCAGUACAAACCAUUGUUUUUUGAUGAAAUCAAAUCGUUGUUCAUCGACAAACGCCUCGAAAUAAAGGCAAAAGCCAUUUGCGGUGAUGUCAAAGAAUGCCUAUUUGAUGUUGCUGCCAGUGGCAGUGUGAGUUUUGGCAAAUCCACCAAACAAGCAAUCGACCAUUUUACAAAAAUCAAAAAGGAUAUUAACACUGUUCGCUCUCCUCUUUACUUUAACUGUGACGGCAUGCCAGAGACGGAAGCUUGUUCAGCCUGUCAUAGCCAGUGUUCCUCUCCACGUCAUCACUCGGUUGCCAUUUCGAUUCUCACAAUCAUCAUCGGUGUUAUUGUAUGCUCCAUUUUCGCUCUUGCUAUUUCCUACUGCGUUUAUAAAGCAAACAGGAAGGAGGCUAAAACAAGUAUGAACUGCCCCAAAUCAAUGUAUCGUCACCACCCAAGGGUAAAGUGAAACCGUUUUCAGAAGCGACAUUAAUGGCUUUUGUGCUUCCUGAAUUUCCCGAAUCUAAACGUGGAAUGGUGAUGAAAGAAUAACUAUAUGGACGCCAUUUGGACUUUUAAAACACUUUCGCAAGGUGAGUAAGAACACUGUUGGACGUUUUAAAUUGGAAAAUUGACGUACCUCAUCAUCAUCGCUGUCUCCGUCUUCGAGGGCUGCACCAACCACCAUCGCAGCAAGUAAGCCACUCAAAGCACGCUGCAAAGAUGGCAGUCAGUGACAUUACAAGUCUCCUCACUCAAGUCAUAAUUUUGCAUUUGGUGUAAAAGGCUUAUAAAGCUUCAAGUCAUUCUCAAUCAUUAGCUUUAUAUUAACUAUUUGUAAUGAGCAUCUUCGUGCUUGUAUGUCGUUUUAAGUUACGUGAAAAACGAUGACUUACUGCUUCAGCUUCCUCCACGGCUUCUCCACAAGCACGCAUGAACUGCUGUAAGGCCAACAUGGAACGUAGCUGUGACAUAUCUGUCGAUAUGAAAAGAAAGAGUGCUGAUUACGUGUUUCGCAGGCAAAUUAUGAGACAUUUGCUUUGCUACGUUCUACCUAUCAUAAUCAUUCUGUGAAGCUUA